rnacentral:lncRNA from 1 species
UUCCACACAAGAAAAAGCAAACAACAACAAUAACAAAUGCAAUACUAUCCAGGAGCAAGAGACAGCCGCGUUAGGGUACGUUAAUUCAGGCUCGGGGGUCACCCAUUAAACAGUCUGAUAAAAGCGGAUUUCUCCACAUAAACAUGAGACGCGCUCCCACUGGAUCACAAAAACAAUCUCUGUCAAGACAUUCAGAGCACUUACGUUGUUUUAAAAAAUCCCUCGGAAGGUUUAGCUGUCCUUUUAUCCCGACAACCGAAACUUUUGGAAACCGGAGAGCGAAGAUCACCGCGAAGCAAGCGCCUCGAGGAAACAACGUGAGACGGUCGCCGCGCGUGAGACAGAGUUCCCGGGUCGUGUCGUGUGUUGAGAGUUGUAUCAGUUGCAUGAACCGAUGAGAACGAGUCAGCGCUCAGUGGCAAAGUAGAGACGAUAGGCAGAGAUUUGCUCAGAGGUAGAAACAGUGUUGGAGGUGCAGUGCUGCCGCUCAGCGCCAGGUUCGCUCAUUGACUGACAUUCAUUCUCUCCUCCUCGCGCGCUGAGGACCCUGACCCCCCUUCUCCGCGCUCCCGUGGGGGAUCUCAUGGGCUGUUUUGUGAGCACGGAAUGAAUUAUCGUCUCUCUUCACCAUUUAGAAGACCAGGGAAAUGAAGUCCGCAGCAAAACAAAAGAUGUUUCAACAAUGCGCGAGGUCUGCAGAAAUAGGUCUCAUUUGUCAUUCUUGCCAUGUCUAUGUGAACGCAGAAGAGGAGUAAAAAUCAUCGCCGCUGGAAAGGGAAGUUAAACAUCACACGUUCAUUUACGUUGAGUGAUUUUGACUUCUCAGAUGUCCCUUUAAUGCAGAGCGCAGUGAUAAUUGAGGGACCCGUGUUGAGGCAGGACGGUCGCUGUAAUAACAGAGACAUCUUUUCAACACAGCAGUCAGGUCUUAAUUAUUACCUUUACAACAGCGAUCGCAGUGAAACGGGUACCAGAGGACCUAUAGCGAGAGAUGUCCCAUACAAUGGAGGCUCAGCACAGAUUCCUCAUUAGCAUAUGUCAGCCAUGUGCUUCAGAUGGCUAUUCAUUUCUGUCACUUAGCACUUGGAAGUGCUCAUGCUAAGAGCUGGUAAAUUAAAUGCUGUAUUCCUGCACUGUAACCUAAGAUUACGCUGUUGUCACUGAGCCUGUCUCCGCUAGUAGAUUACUUCUUAAAAAUAAUUUUAAAAAGGACAGGCCAAAAAGAAAAAGAAAAUAAUGUAAUGGACGAGCAAAAUGGUGCUGCUGUGGAAAUGAUUGACAGCUACAAUAUGAAUGAAAACCA